GACUCGGUGGCGAAGUGGUUUCGCGUCCACUAAAUCUUCUCAUGUAAAAGGUCAUACUGAGUGGAAGGUGCCCGUUCGAUUCGGGCCCGAGUCA